CGUGAAGCCCCCCUCAAGAUAAGAUAUCCCAUUCGUAAGAAGUAAGACCCCUUGCAGACGACGAGGUUGAUAGGCUUCGGGUGGAAGUGUGGCAACACAUGGAGCUGAGAAGUACUAAUAGGUCGAGGGCUUGACCAG
rnacentral:rRNA from 1 species